CUUUCAGUCAACUCCUUUCAAAAACAAGUGUUUUCAUCAAACAGAAAUUAACCCAUUCCAGAUACCUUUUCAAAGUCCUGAAGGUACAGAUCCAGUUCUACCUUGGGAAAGCAUGUGACCAUCUGCUCCAAUGUGGACAAAGCAUGAAUUUUGAAGCCCCAGAAACAGUGAAUAUUGUGAAAUAGUUGUCUGUGAAUGGACAGUUCCAGGACUAAGCAAACAUGAAAAGUUUCAACAGUAGGGCAGACUGUCAGCUCCCUCAUCUGUCA
rnacentral:lncRNA from 1 species